GGAUUGUGGCUCAGUGGUAGAGCACUCGCCUAGCCCGUGCAAGGCCCUGGGUUCUAUCCUCAACACCA
rnacentral:tRNA from 1 species